UACGUAGGGGGCAAGCGUUGUCCGGAUUUAUUGGGCGUAAAGAGCUCGUAGGUGGUUCGGUAAGUCGGAUGUGAAAUCUCCAGGCUCAACCUGGAGGGGUCAUUCGAUACUGCCGUGACUAGAGUUCGGUAGGGGAGUGUGGAAUUCCUGGUGGAGCGGUGAAAUGCGCAGAUAUCAGGAGGAACACCGGUGGCGAAGGCGGCAUCCUGGACCGGCAUUGACGCUGAGGCGCGAAAGCCAGGGGAGCAAACGGG
rnacentral:rRNA from 1 species